AAAUUAUGGCAUGAGAAAGCGUAACAUUACAAAAAUUUAAUAUCGUAGAUCGACAACUAUUCCUAGUAGUCAGAGAGUCCGGGAUCGGCAUGAGAACAAGAUUGCAUUGGACAUAUAACUCGUUCUCCAAAGGAGAGAAUCGAAUUCAGUCGAACCGGGGAUGGGUGAAUAUAUGCAAAUCGAUGACACGCUUGUACGAGGUAGAGGAAAAGGAAAAAGUCGAAAGAAUAGCAUUCCUAACACAUAUGUGUGGUACUUAUAAAAAUUCACAACCGGACCAGUCAAGGCUACCUAGUUUCUUUGUGCUGAUGCUUUUUUAGUAGACAAGUGUUAUUGAUAUUUGUGCUUUCGUGAAAUCGCCGUCCAAUUGAGUCAAUUGAUAUUCACCGAAAUCACGCAAUUGUCGCAUUUAUUGAUCACCAAUCUCAAUGAAUAUAUUGUUUGACUUCGGGUAUCAUUUUUCUUCGUCACCGGCUCGUCCCUUACAAGUCCGUAUCGGGCUGAUGAGGAUUUCACUGAGCCUUGAUCAUCUGUCGAAUUAUUGACGGGGAGGGAUAUUGCAAACGUCAUUGGCCAAGAUCUACGCCCCUUCACCCAGUCUCAACGCCAUGAGCAGCAUGAAAAUAUGAAGAAAGCGAGUAGUUGCUGAGACAAAGAAAUUUCAUAGAAUUUUUAUCAAGCAUCGGCUGGAAGUCGGAUCACCCUGGAGACUUCAUCCUAUUCAUCCGGUUUGCUGCUUUACCAAUAUCGCUCCACUCGCCAUUCUACUUUUUAUAAUCGGAUCUGAGCGUGACAUGUCUUCUCAAUGAAGUAAGAAAGAGUAACGCGCAGUGAAUGGUUAUUUUAUCAAUGAAUUCAUAACUUCACAUGUUUACAAAACAUCCAUGAGCUCAACAAGAAGGGGAGCAUUCUGUAUACGAUAGCGGUUGUGUAGAAAAUAUUGUACGAGGUGUGGGGGAUAGGGGUGGAAAUUUCAAGUUCGGGGAAAAUGCUG